GUCCUAAUGCGGCCCGCUGGCGUGCGCCAGCGGACGGUGACAAGCCCGUGCGAACGCAGAGUCAGGAU
rnacentral:ribozyme from 2 species